rnacentral:rRNA from 1 species
GAUGAACGCUGGCGGCGUGCCUAACACAUGCAAGUCGAACGGAGUCGUUUUGGAAAUCUCUUCGGAGAUGGAAUUCUCGACUUAGUGGCGGACGGGUGAGUAACGCGUGAGCAAUCUGCCUUUAAGAGGGGGAUAACAGUCGGAAACGGCUGCUAAUACCGCAUAAAGCAUUAAAUUCGCAUGUUUUUGAUGCCAAAGGAGCAAUCCGCUUUUAGAUGAGCUCGCGUCUGAUUAGCUAGUUGGCGGGGUAACGGCCCACCAAGGCGACGAUCAGUAGCCGGACUGAGGGGUUGAACGGCCACAGUGGGACUGAGACACGGCCCAGACUCCUACGGGAGGCAGCAGUGGGGAAUAUUGCGCAAUGGGGGAAACCCUGACGCAGCAACGCCGCGUGAUUGAAGAAGGCCUUCGGGUUGUAAAGAUCUUUAAUCAGGGACGAAACAAAUGACGGUACCUGAAGAAUAAGCUCCGGCUAACUACGUG